CAAUAGCGUAUAUUAAAGUUGUUGCGGUUAAAAAGCUCGUAGUUGGAGUUCUGCCAGGUGACGCUCGUCCGCCCAAGUGGUGUGUACAGGGCGUGCAUCUGGCCCUUUCAAGGGGAACGUGUCUGCACUUUACUGUGUGGUGCGAGAUCCUUGACUUUUACUUUGAGGAAAUCAGAGUGUUCCAAGCAGGCUCUCGUCGUGUAUAGCUCAGCAUGGAAUAAUAGCAUUGGACUUCGUUUCUAAGCUGUUGGUUGCAAGAAGCGAGGUAAUGAUGAAGAGGGAUAGUUGGGGGCAUUCGUAUUUAACUGUCAGAGGUGAAAUUCUUGGAUUUGCUAAAGACGGACUACUGCGAAAGCAUCUGCCAUGGAUGUUUNCAUUG
rnacentral:rRNA from 1 species